GCUCAAAUUUGAAAUCUCACAAGGUCACUUGUGCGAAUUGUAGUUUAGAGAAACGUUUUCGGGGGCGACGUGGGUAUAAGUCCUUUGGAAAGAGGCAUCAUAGAGGGUGAGAAUCCCGUUUAUGAUCCACUGUUCGCUCCUAUGUGAUACGUUUUCCAAGAGUCAUGUAGUUUGGGAUUGCUGCAUAAAAUGGGUGGUAAAUACCAUCUAAAGCUAAAUAUUGGCGGGAGACCGAUAGCGAACAAGUACCGUGAGGGAAAGAUGAAAAGAACUUUGAAAAGAGAGUUAAACAGUACGUGAAAUUGCCAAAAGGGAAACGCUUGGAACCAGUAUUGCUUUCAGGUAAUCAACUUCACGUCCCGCAAGGGUCGCGUGGGGUGCACUUGCUUGCAAGCGAGCCAACAUCAGUUUGGUUUGGGGUAAAAAGCCGGAGGAAGGUAGCUUGAACUUCGGUUUGAGUGUUAUAGCCUCCGGUCAUGCCUUGGGCCAGACUGAGGUCUGCAGCGUUAUUUGGAUUCCCGGUUGCCUCUUGAGACCAACCCUAGACAGCACGCUGACUAGGGUGACGUUUAGAGAGCUCAGCCGGUUCAUCACACCUACGCUUAGGAUGUUGGCGAAAUGGUUCCAAACGACCCGUCUUGAAACACGGACCAAGGAGUCUAACAUAUAUGCGAGUAUUUGGGUGGCAAACCCUCAUGCGCAAUGAAAGUGAACUUAGGUGGGAUCUUCGGUGCACCAUCGACCGGUCUGGAUUUUUUUUGAUAGAUCUGAGUAAGAGCAUACAUGUUGGGACCCGAAAGAUGGUGAACUAUGCCUGAAUAGGGUGAAGCCAGAGG
rnacentral:rRNA from 1 species